AGAGACCCAUCAGGCGGGGAGGGCCUGGGCGGUGGCGGCGCCCCCUUGGUGGGGCCGCAGAGCGGAGGAGCAGCAGCUGCCACCGGCCGGAAGCCUGCUGGCUCGGCCGAGAACAAUGGCCGCCUGUCACUGUGGACAGCUGUCUCCCAGGCUAAGGCAAGGCUGCGCUCCCAGGGAAUGCGGGCAGGGAGCCAGGGCGGAGGGCAGAGGACGAGAGCGAGGAGGAGAGCGCGGGCACCCACUGAUGCUGGCGGCCUCGGGUAUUCGCUUUCUCUCUCUUCUCCCACCUUGUUCCUUUUCCCCGGAUGCACGCAUGCACUAGUAAUGCCGAAUUUAGAACAACAGGGAAAGGAAAGGAAAUGGCAAAGGAAGGGAAAGGAAAUGGCCGACAGGAAAUGGCAAGGAAGGGAAAAUCCACUGCAACUCUGCUGCCUGCUGGCCUGUCCAGGGACAACUAUUCAGCUGGGUGGGACGUUGCUACCCCCUUGUGGCACCCCUGCUGCAGCCUGCGAUUCUUACGCCCUGUAUUUCUGGUCUAACAUCAACCAACACUUUGGCGAAAUAUAAUAAAAUGAAAUUACUAGGAGAAUGAAAGAAAGUCACAUGAAAUAAAAGCCCUGCUUUUUAAUGAUUAUAUCCUCUGUGAAAUGGAUCUGCAGCCCUCUCCAUUUCUGGGUUCCCCUGGCCACACCAUGCUUAUGGCUGUCCCAGGAGCAGGCUGACAGACAAGCUUCCACCAGCAUCUAACCAUGGGGCUCAUGGACACCGUAGAGCGUCUCCACCCAACAGAAUCCUGACUUGGGGGCAGCUGAGGCAGGGGGCCCGAGCGUUGAGGGGACCACGCUGCUGCCCCGAGACCUGCUGGCAUGCCACCUGGCCAACCCUGACUUCGCCUGCCCGGGCGCAUGUUAACUGAGUUACAACACUGAGGGCACUUGAACCUGGCUGCAUGACCAGAGAUCGAUCACCUGUGAGAUCCUCUGUGAAACGGGAUAAGCAUCUUUAAUUUCCUGGGCUGUUCUGGAACUUCAGUCAGACAGGACACAGGAGGGUGUCUGCACCACCCACCCCUGCCUCGUGGGCUGACUGGGAACUAUAUGACCUGUGGAGGGCUGUGACCGCCACCCUCCACCUCACUGGGGCCGCAAGCCUUCUCUGCUCCUUGAUUCUGCUGCCGUUGUGAGCGAGGGCCCCAGCACCCUUAGGGACCCCAAUCAAUGGGCUUCCCACAAUGUCGUCACCCUUUGUUGCCUGCUAAGCAGCCCUGGGGCCACCUCAGAAGAAACAGAACUCACAGGUCACAGGGGCCUUUUCCUCCUCGUCAUCGUCCUCCUCCUCUUCUUCUUCCUCCCUGGGCAACUUCCUGAAUUCGGAAAGGUGGGGUUUUGCUAUGUUGUCCAGGCUGGUCUUGAACUCCUGCCCUCAAGUGAUCCUCCCAUCUCAGCCUCCCAAAGCCCUGGGAUAAUGGCGUGAGCCGCCACACCUGGCCGCCUUUGGUCUGUUUGAAGAGGGACAUGGCAUGAUCAGAUGGGGCUUUUAGGCCUCUCUGACCCUGGUGUGGAGGGUGGGCUGGCAAGAAGGGGACGACUGUCUAAAGGAGAGAGUCUAAGACCUGGGCUGGGCAGGGCCAUGGUGACAAACAGGAGCAGACAGAGUCGGGCAGUAUAAAUGGAGGGGCAGGGACAGUGUUGAAGUUUCUAUUCUGAGCAACUAGAAGGCUCGUGGUACAGUUAAUUACCCUGAUGGGGAUGGAAGAGUCAGGCAGGGGAUGGGCAAUGGGCUCUGUUUCCACAGCGACUUGUGUUCCACGGAGGUCAAGAGGCCUGAGGGCCUGCAAGAACAUGGUCUGGGCAGGAGAUGGAGCUGCGGAAUGAAUGAGGAUAGGGGGCUGAGUCCCACAGGGCCAGAGCAUGGCUAGCAAAGUGGGGAUGACUCCAGGAGUGGCCUUCUGGGUGCCACGAAGGAAAUGUUUUAAGAAGUGAGAUUGGGUCACUGCUUUCAAUGUCAUAGAACAGAGCUGAGCAGUUGAGGAGGCGUAGUGGGUAGAAAGGGAGGUCGCAGCAGGCUGAAAGCAAACCGACAGGAGGGUUAGCGUCUUUUAGCAGGUAGGCAGGGCAGAAGAGAGCCACGGGGCAGAUCAGGGAAAGAAACACUGAAGCCAUCUGUGGCUGAGAAGGAGGGCAGUGGGGAGGAGUGUCUAAAAUUCUGAGCCAUCCCUGGCUUUUCUGGGCAGAAGGGGUCGCUCCCUCAGUGGCCCUAUGGCCUCUAACAUGCAUUUUGACCCCUGGAAUCUGCCUUCUCACCCAGUGGGGGCCCUGGAAGCUGGACAACACACAUUCACCCCUGUGUGCCUGUCCCUGAGAGUGGGGGUCAGGGGAGCAUGCCUGGGGUGGCGAGGUGAUUCUGCACUGGGCCGACACUCCCGGCUUUAACUGGAAGGCGAGGACCUUCCAACAGCACAGGCUGACAGGUCUUGUUCCAUGGGGGCUGGGCACCCAAGGUAUCUACUGAUGGUCUGAGGAAUCUACCGGGAUGGAUUCCUGAUUUUUUUUUUUUUUUUUCUGAGACGGAGUUUCGCUCUAGUUGCCCAGGCUGGAGUGCAAUGGCGUGAUCUCAGCUCACCACAACCUCCACCUCUCGGGUUCAAGUGAUUCUCCUGCCUCAGCCUCCUGAGUAGCUGGGAUUACAGGCAUGAGCCACCAUGCUCAGCAGAUUCGUGAUUUUUAAAAUGAAAGGGUGACUCAUGGGAGAAGCCUCUGGAACUGCCUUUGAAAAACAACCAGCCAAGACAUGAGAAAUUAGUUCCUCUGCCAUUUGGGGGUUUCCUGCCAACUGCUGGGUUUUCCUUUUGCACAGCAGGGAGGAAGGACGCCUGUUUCCCUUGGUCCCGGUGAGGCCAGGCCUCAGCUUCCUGCCCACCCGCCACUGCUGCUGGGGCAGGGAGGCAGUUUCCGGCUGUGGGGACCCAGACAAUGCCUGGCCAAGGGCCACCAUCGUCCUCUUCCUGGACACAGCUCCCGCCUCAUCCCAGGGUCUGGCCUGGGACACGCCCUAGAGGCCCUCAGCCCUGAGUCACUGCACCAUGCAGAUCCACCCUGAUUCUGGUCCCUGCAGAGCAGGCUCCUACACAAGGCAAGAAGAUGCUCCAGGGACAAGCCAAGGUGUAUGCAAGGCCCAGGUGCCUGAGAAACACGUCUCACCGACCUUGGGGCAGGGGCUGUUACAAGAGGCUUAUAGUCUAGUGGCAGAGACAAAAACCACACUCAAAUCAUUAGUGUACGGUAUGCACUGCUCAGGGACUCAAAUAUGUGACAGGAGGCUCCAAACAAGAGCGGAGACAAGGCGUAAAUAGCCCCCUGUGGACUGGAUGUUCUGACUCCUGGAUGGCCUCCAGAAGGAUGCCUUUUACGGUCUGUGAAAGAGCUCAGGGACCAAGAUGCUCAAAGCCCUUCAUGCCCAAGAGCCCCUCCUCAGGCUGGGACACGGGAAGCAGAGCUCGGAGGUGGAACUCGUGACUGUGUAUGGGCACAUGUGAGUGCGUGUGUGUGGACAGCCAGGCUUAGUGUAGACAACGUGUGAGGCUCAGACCCCAAGUGCUGACUACACCUAUGCACAUCCACACCUGCGUGUGAAAGAAGAUGCUAGAAAAGAACAAAAAUAACUUAAAAAAUAAAUCCAAUAAGAUGGCUGGAACAUAUAACAACUUCAAA
rnacentral:lncRNA from 1 species